rnacentral:lncRNA from 12 species
GAAAAGCUUGCUGUCCUCUGCUCUGUGGUAUCCCGUGGACAACCAAAGGGGGACAUCACCACUGAACCCAGAGAGCGAGGCAUCCAGUCCCCCCACUGCGGAGCUGGGCCAAGCUGGAGGGAACAGUGGCCUUUCCUGCUGACCGUGCAUGGCCCACUGGUCCCCCAGAGAAGCUGCAGAGGAAAGCCCAGGCUGGCCAGCUCUGGGGUUGCCUACAGAGUCCAGUGCCCAGUGAUGCAGGGAAUCAAGUCGCUGGGGGCUCAGGGGCCAGCUCAAGCUAAGGAACCGGCACAGAAGUGAUGAGACGGCCUAGGACUUGGGUGGGACCAGAGCUGAUGUGUGGGGAAGGAAUCUUUGGGAAGCGUGCUGGCUAGAUUGAGGACUGAGGAAAAGAUUGCAAACCAGGCUCAAAAAAAUGAUGGACAUUUGCAGAAGCUAAGGCACCAAGAACAUAGCUGUUCAGUGGGAGCUCCAGUGACCGGUAUGCCUCGCCAUCUCUCCAAACCUCAUAAUCCCAACUGGUUUACUUCAUUGGGAUUUUGUGAGAUCAAAUGAGAUCACGGAUUUGAACAUCAUCUAUAACCCUAAAUGUACUCAUGUUGCCAAUAACCAUCAACAACAGUGUGUCUUCUGAGUCAAGGCUACUUCUCUCUUCAUUGUGCCGUAUGACCAUCAUGGCAGAACUGAAGCCUUCCAGCAGGGAAAUCUCUCUCUGCGCUAAUUGCUGUCAGCAUCCAUCAGGAUCGCCGAGAGAGCAACAUCCCAGCCAGAGGGGCCUUGGGCUGGAGCUCCAUCACCAGGAGACGGCCUCCCUGGGAAGGCCCGGGGACCGGACGCCGCUGCAUCUGCUGGGCGUCUCCACCGGGAGGUGCCAAGGAGGCGCACACAGCCCCAGCCUGGGGGGCCAGCAGGCCCACCGACCCUACCUGGGAGCCCCUGGCUCUGGGGGAGCCCUGAGCAACCACGUGGGGGGCCCGGGGCGGCUGGGCUACGGGGCACCGGCUUCCAUCAGCCUCUUAGACCAGUCCCCGUUUAUCUCCUUUAGAUCUCAGGCCAGCCCCGAGAGGUUCUGUCAAAGGGGUUCUGCUGGAUUCAAAUAG